GACGUCAAGAAGGCAGCCACACGCACCCGGGGACA
rnacentral:tRNA from 1 species